UACGGAGGGUGCAAGCGUUAUCCGGAUUCACUGGGUUUAAAGGGUGCGUAGGUGGGUUGCUAAGUCAGUGGUGAAAUCCCCGAGCUUAACUUGGGAACUGCCAUUGAUACUAUUGAUCUUGAAUACCGUAGAGGUCAGCGGAAUAUGUCAUGUAGCGGUGAAAUGCUUAGAUAUGACAUAGAACACCAAUUGCGAAGGCAGCUGGCUACGCGAAUAUUGACACUGAUGCACGAAAGCGUGGGGAGCAAACAGG
rnacentral:rRNA from 1 species